CCGUGGAGGCGCGCAGAGAGGCCGGCGCGGGUGGCGGGUAGGCGGCUCCGGGGGCCGGCGCGGCCCCGGGCGCUGCGGGCGGGGAAAGGGGCCUCGCCGCGGGAGGACCCGCCUGGUGUCGGCAACAUGGCAGCGUCCAGCCGGGCCCAGGUGCUGCGGCUGUACCGGGCCCUGCUGCGGGAGAGCCAGCGCUUCGGCGGCUACAACUACAGAACGUAUGCCAUUAGAAGGAUAAGAGAUGCCUUCAGAGAAAACAAGAAUAUAAAGGAUUCUGAAAAAAUAGAAGAACUAGUGAAUAAAGCCAAAGUAAACCUAGAGGUUAUUCAUCGGCAGUUGUUCUUGAUGUCUACUCUUAGCCAUGCAUCAUCUAGUGCUGGUAGGAUAUAUAUCGCAGUGCUACCACACUUGAUAAACUUCAGUGAUAAAAACCAUCACUUCUGCAGUGUGUGGAGUUUCUCCCAGCCAACAUGCAGCCAUGUGGAAGGAGGUCAUUCCUGAUCAAUAACUGCUCGUUGCUUUUUACUUACAACAUACACGUUUUAAUUUAUAUUUCCUGCUGCUGCCAGAGGGAACUAAUUUCCAGCACCAGAGAUGCAACGCAGCUACUUUAAAGCGGAACGGUCCUAAGAUGAAAUUAUGUUACUGACCUGACACACUUCAAAAAGCUUGAUUCCGAAGCCUGCUGUGGUUUGAGCUUGCAGUUUCUGAGAUAGGUUAACAUUGCUCUGAAUCAUUGUGAGACAUAAUCAGAUUGUUGCUUUGUAAUUAAAUAAUGAAGCAUUUGUGUGUGAGAGUUCCUGCUAUAAUUAGUAGUUAGGCUGUGCUUUGAGAAGAUCAGAAUCUACAUCACACGAUGGUAGGAUCUGGAAUUUGUUUUCCAAACUUGACUUUCAGUCAUAGAGACAUGAAGUCUUCCAAAAUCCAGGUUUGAUUUAUAAUACUUUGUGUAUUAACUGAGAAACAUGAGUGAAUAAUCAGACAGCCCUUUGAGUAGCGUGAUUUUUUUCAACUAAACUAAUAAUCUGGCUUGAGUUAUUUAGAGAAAAACUCCUGUGGUUCAGAUGACCUUUCCCUUAGUUCUCCUGUAGAUCUCAGCUGUGAAGUAGUGGCAAAAUGUCCCUCAUUGUGGUUACCAUUGGCCAACUGUAUUCCACGCAGAAAUUGGUUAUUGAGGGUCCA